AGUGAACGCUGGCGGUAGGCCUAACACAUGCAAGUCGAACGGCAGCACAGUAAGAGCUUGCUCUUACGGGUGGCGAGUGGCGGACGGGUGAGGAAUAUAUCGGAAUCUACUUUUUCGUGGGGGAUAACGUAGGGAAACUUACGCUAAUACCGCAUACGACCUACGGGUGAAAGCAGGGGAUCUUCGGACCUUGCGCGAUUGAUUGAGGCGUUGUAGGGUUAGCUAGUUGGCGGGGUAAAGACCCACCAAGGCGACGAUCCGUAGCUGGUCUGAGAGAAUGAUCGGCCACACUGGAACGGGGACACGGUCCAGACUCCUACGGGAGGCAGCAGUGGGGAAUAUUGGACAAUGGGCGCAAGCCUGAUCCAGCCAUACCGCGUGGGUGAAGAAGGCCUUCGGGUUGUAAAGCCCUUUUGUGGGGAAAGAAAAGCAGCAGGUUAAUACCCCGCUGUUCUGACGGUACCCAAAGAAUAAGCACCGGCUAACUUCGUG
rnacentral:rRNA from 1 species